rnacentral:pre_miRNA from 1 species
UUGAUACUCCCUCCGUCCGAAAAUACUUGUCCUAAAAAUGGAUAUAUCUAUAACUAAAAUAAGUCUAGAUUCAUUCAUUUCUAGGACAAGUAUUUCCGGACGGAGGGAGUAUAUA